rnacentral:misc_RNA from 1 species
AACUGAUACUACCUGCGGGAACCUGCGGAGGGAUCAUUAAUUAAGAUGAUGCCCUUCUUAGGGAACUCCUCCCGGCAUUGGCCGGGUGCAUUCAUCUCUCCUUGUGAAUAAACUUAUUGCUUUGGUAGCAUCCCAUAGUUGGGUUAUUAGUCUACUGCUAGCUUACAAUAAAAUCUUUAUGAUAUUCUGUGAGCCGUCUGAAAACAAAAAAAAGUAAAAAUUUUAUAAAACUUUCAACAA